rnacentral:rRNA from 2 species
UACAGAGGUGGCAAGCGUUGUUCGGAAUUACUGGGCGUAAAGGGCGCGUAGGCGGUCUUUUAAGUUCCGUGUGAAAUCCCUCGGCUCAACUGGGGAACGGCACGGGAAACUGGAAGGCUUGAGUUCGGGAGAGGGAAGCGGAAUUCCGGGUGUAGCGGUGAAAUGCGUAGAUAUCCGGAGGAACACCGGUGGCGAAGGCGGCUUCCUGGACCGACACUGACGCUGAGGCGCGAAAGCUAGGGGAGCAAACGGG